rnacentral:rRNA from 1 species
UGGGGAAUAUUGGACAAUGGGCGCAAGCCUGAUCCAGCAAUGCCGCGUGUGUGAAGAAGGCCUUCGGGUUGUAAAGCACUUUUAUCAGGAGCGAAAUACUACCGGCCAAUACCCGGUGGGGCUGACGGUACCUGAGGAAUAAGCACCGGCUAACUUCGUGCCAGCAGCCGCGGUAAUACGAAGGGUGCAAGCGUUAAUCGGAAUUACUGGGCGUAAAGGGUGCGUAGGCGGUUCGUUAAGUCUGUUGUGAAAUCCCCGGGCUCAACCUGGGAAUGGCAAUGGAUACUGGCGGGCUAGAGUGUGUCAGAGGAUGGUGGAAUUCCCGGUGUAGCGGUGAAAUGCGUAGAGAUCGGGAGGAACAUAAGUGGCGAAGGCGGCAAUCUGGGACAACACUGACGCUGAAGCACGAAAGCGUGGGGAGCAAACAG